AUUGAACGCUGGCGGACUGCUUUACACAUGCAAGUCGAACGGCAGCACGGACUUCGGUCUGGUGGCGAGUGGCGAACGGGUGAGUAAUAUAUCGGAACGUGCCCAGUCGUGGGGGAUAACGUAGUGAAAAUUACGCUAAUACCGCAUACGAUCUACGGCUGAAAGCGGGGGAUCGCAAGACCUCGCGCGAUUGGAGCGGCCGAUAUCAGAAUAGGAAGUUGGUGAGGUAAAGGCUCACCAAGCCAACGAUCCGUAGCUGGUCUGAGAGGACGACCAGCCACACUGGAACUGAGACACGGUCAAGGCUCCUACGGGAGGCAGCAGUGGGGAAUUUUGGACAAUGGACGAAAGUCUGAUCCAGCCAUUCCGCGUGCAGGACGAAGGCCUUCGGGUUGUAAACUGCUUUUGUACAGAACGAAAAGGUCUCUAUUAAUACUAGGGGCUCAUGACGGUACUGUAAGAAUAAGCACCGGCUAACUACGUGCCAGCCGCCGCCGUAACAC
rnacentral:rRNA from 1 species